UACGUAGGUGGCAAGCGUUGUCCGGAUUUAUUGGGCGUAAAGGGAGCGCAGGCGGUGAUUUAAGUCUGAUGUGAAAGCCCACGGCUCAACCGUGGAAUGGCAUUGGAAACUGUCCAACUUGAAUGCAGAAGAGGUAAGUGGAAUUCCAUGUGUAGCGGUGAAAUGCGUAGAGAUGUGGAGGAAUACCGGCGGCGAAGGCGGCCCCCUGGACGAAGACUGACGCUGAGGCUCGAAAGCGUGGGUAGCAAACAGG
rnacentral:rRNA from 1 species